UACGGAGGAUGCAAGCGUUAUCCGGAAUGAUUGGGCGUAAAGCGUCCGCAGGUGGCUGUGUAAGUCUGCUGUUAAAGAGUCUAGCUCAACUAGAUACAAGCAGCGGAAACUACACGGCUAGAGUACGUUCGGGGCAGAGGGAAUUCCUGGUGUAGCGGUGAAAUGCGUAGAUAUUGGGAAGAACACCGGUGGCGAAAGCGCUCUGCUGGACCUGCACUGACACUGAGGGACGAAAGCUAGGGGAGCGAAAGGG
rnacentral:rRNA from 1 species